rnacentral:rRNA from 1 species
UUUUAUUAUAAUUUAUUUAUUUAUAUAUUUUUAGUUUAUUUUUAAUAAAAAUAUUUUUAAAAAUAAUUGUUUAAGUAAUUAUUUUAAGAAAAAAUUUUAUUACUUUAAAAUUGUAAAAUUUGUUAUAAAAAUUAUAAAAUAAAAAUUUAUUUUUUGUUCCUUUUGUAUAAGGAUAAUUUAAAUAAAUUUUAAAAAUUUUUAAUUUUCUCGAAAUAAAUAGAGAUAAAAUUUUAUUUUUUUUAAUGUUUCAUAAUUAUAUAAAAUAAAAUUUUUGAAAUUAUAUGUUAUUCAAUUUUUAAUAUCUAGUUUUUUAAUAAAUAAAUUUAAUUUAGAAUUAUUUAUGAGAUUAAUUUUAUUAAUAAAAAAAUUUUUAUAAUAAUUUAAAAAUAAAAGAGAUAAAUUUUUUAUUAAAUUAUAAAUAAAAUAUAAUGUUUUAAUGUAUAAUUUUUAAUUAAUAUUAAUUUAUAUUUUUAAAAUUUUAAAAUUAAGUACUUAUAAAAGAUUUUUUAUUUAUUUUAAUUAAAAUAUUAAAAUUUAAAUUUUAAUUUUUAAAAAUUUAUAAAUAAUGAUUUAAUUAGUAUUAAAAUAAUAUUUUUUAAUUAAAAUUUUUUAAUAAUUAAUUUUUAAUAAYUUGGCAAUAAUAAUUUUCACUUGUUUAUCAAAAACAUGUCUUAAAGAUUAAAUAAUUUUAGGUUUAAUCUGUUCAAUGAUUAUAAAUUAAAUAAUUGCAGUAUUUUAACUGUGCAAAGGUAGCAAAAUCAUUUGUUUUUUAAUUGAAAACUGGAAUGAAAGAUUGAAUGAAAAAUUAACUUUUUUAAAAUUAAUAAAAGAAUUUAAGUUUAAAAUAAAAAAUUUUUAAUAGAUUUAAAAGACGAUAAGACCCUAUAAAAUUUAAUAUUUUUUUAAUAAUUAUUUUUUAAAAUAAAUUUUUAUUAAAAAUUUAUUUAAUUGGGGUGAUUAAAAAAUUUAAAAAACUUUUUUUAUAAAAAUAAAUUAAAAUUUUUUAUUAAAAAUAAUUAUAUUUAUUUUUAAAUUAAAUUACUUUAGGGAUAACAGCAUAAUAUUUUUAAAUAGUUCAAAUUGAUAAAAAUGAUUAUGACCUCGAUGUUGAAUUAAAAAAAAUGUAUAUAGAAAAAAAUAUAUAAUUUAGUCUGUUCGACUAUUAAAUUUUUACAUGAUUUGAGUUCAAAUCGGCGUGAGCCAGAUUGGUUUCUAUCUUUAAAAAAUUAAUAAAUUUUUGUACGAAAGGAUUAAUUUAUAAAAUUUUUUU